AACGAACGCUGGCGGCAGGCUUAACACAUGCAAGUCGAACGCAUCGCAAGGUGAGUGGCAGACGGGUGAGUAACGCGUGGGAACAUACCCUUUUCUACGGAAUAGCUCUGGGAAACUGGAAUUAAUACCGUAUACGCCCUACGGGGGAAAGAUUUAUCGGGGAAGGAUUGGCCCGCGUUGGACUAGCUAGUUGGUGGGGUAAAGGCCUACCAAGGCGACGCUCUAUAGCUGGGCUGAGAGGAUGAUCAGCCACAUUGGGACUGAGACACGGCCCAAACGCCUACGGGAGGGAGCAGUGGUGAAUAUUGGACAAUGGGCGCAAGCCUGAUCCAGCCAUGCCGCGUGAGUGAUGAAGGCCUUAGGGUUGUAAAGCUCUUUCACCGAUGAAGAUAAUGACGGUAGUCGGAGAAGAAGCCCCGGCUAACUUCGUGCCAGCCGCCGCGGUAAUAC
rnacentral:rRNA from 1 species